rnacentral:rRNA from 1 species
AUUGAACGCUGGCGGCAUGCCUAACACAUGCAAGUCGAGCGAGCGGCGGACGGGUGAGUAAUGUCUGGGAAACUGCCUGAUGGGAGGGGAUAACUUCUGGAAACGGUAACUAAUACCGCAUACUAUCAGAUGUGCCCAGAUGGGAUUAGCUAGUGGGUGGGGUAACGGCUCACCUAGGCGACGAUCCCUAGCUGGUCUGAGAGGAUGACCAGCCACACUGGAACUGAGACACGGUCCAGACUCCUACGGGAGGCAGCAGUGGGGAAUAUUGCACAAUGGGCGCAAGCCUGACACAGCCAGGCCGCGUGUGUGAAGAAGGCCUUCGGGUUGUAAAGCACUUUCAGCGGGGAGGCGUUACCCGCAGAAGAAGCACCGGCUAACUCCGUGCCAGCAGCCGCGGUAAUUC